CGGUGUUCAACUGGCGUGCCCGCGGGACGUCCUGCCGGUGAGCUCAGCCCGCGAGGGCGGCUCAACUUGAAAUCCCAUCGCGGUGCUCUUCAUUGAGUGUCGAGGUGGGCCGGCACGAUUACUUUUGAACAAAUUAGAGUGCUUAAAGCAGGCUAAAAUUUUGCCUGAAUACUGUGUAUAUGGAAUAAUGGAAUAGGACCUCGGUUCUAUUUUGUUGGCUUUCGGAACCCCGAGGUAAUGAUUAAUAGGAACGGAUGGGGGCAUUCGUAUUGCGACGUUAGAGGUGAAAUUCUUGGAUCGUCGCAAGACGGACUAAAGCGAAAGCAUUUGCCAAAAACGCUUUCAUUGAUCAAGAACGAAAGUUAGAGGUUCGAAGGCGAUCAGAUACCGCCCUAGUUCUAACCAUAAACUAUGCCAGCUAGCGAUCCGCCGACGUCCCUCUGAUGACUCGGCGGGCAGCUUCCGGGAAACCAAAGCUUUUGGGUUCCGGGGGAAGUAUGGUUGCAAAGCUGAAACUUAAAGGAAUUGACGGAAGGGCACCACCAGGAGUGGAGCCUGCGGCUUAAUUUGACUCAACACGGGAAACCUCACCAGGCCCAGACACUGGAAGGAUUGACAGAUUGAGAGCUCUUUCUUGAUUCAGUGGGUGGUGGUGCAUGGCCGUUCUUAGUCGGUGGAGCGAUUUGUCAGGUUAAUUCCGAUAACGGACGAGACUCUGACCUGAUAACUAGACGCACUUGCGGCAUCUCAAAGGUCCGCCGGCGGCUGGCUUUGCGCCCGUCGUCGCGCGCGAUUUUUACUGCCGGCGUACAAUAAAUUCUUCUUAGAGGGACAAGUGG
rnacentral:rRNA from 1 species